UUCCGGUUGAUCCCGCCGGACCUGACUGCUAUCGGAUUGAUACUAAGCCAUGCGAGUCAUUGUAGUAAUACAAGGCAGACGGCUCAGUAACGCGUAGUCAACCUAACCUAUGGACGGGGAUAAUCUCGGGAAACUGAGCAUAAUACCCGAUAGAACAUUAUGCCUGGAAUGGUUUAUGUUCCAAAUGAUUUAUCGCCGUAGGAUGGGACUGCGGCCUAUCAGUUUGUUGGUGAGGUAAUGGCCCACCAAGACUAUUACAGGUACGGGCUCUGAGAGGAGUAGCCCGGAGAUGGGUACUGAGACACGGACCCAGGCCCUAUGGGGCGCAGCAGGCGAGAAAACUUUGCAAUGUGCGAAAGCACGACAAGGUUAAUCCGAGUGGUUUCUGCUAAAGGAACCUUUUGACAGUCCUAGAAACACUGUUGAAUAAGGGGUGGGCAAGUUCUGGUGUCAGCCGCCGCGGUAAAACCAGCACCUCAAGUGGUCAGGAUGAUUAUUGGGCCUAAAGCAUCCGUAGCCGGCUCUGUAAGUUUUCGGUUAAAUCUGUACGCUCAACGUACAGGCUGCCGGGAAUACUGCAGAGCUAGGGAGUGGGAGAGGUAGACGGUACUCGGUAGGAAGGGGUAAAAUCCUUUGAUCUAUUGAUGACCACCUGUGGCGAAGGCGGUCUACCAGAACACGUCCGACGGUGAGGGAUGAAAGCUGGGGGAGCAAACCGGAUUAGAUACCCGGGUAGUCCCAGCUGUAAACCAUGCAAACUCAGUGAUGCAUUGGCUUGUGGCCAAUGCAGUGCUGCAGGGAAGCCGUUAAGUUUGCCGCCUGGGAAGUACGUACGCAAGUAUGAAACUUAAAGGAAUUGGCGGGGCAGCACAAUC
rnacentral:rRNA from 1 species